GCGAAAGCGAUGACCGGGACGAGUAUUCCGUGUUCUGACCGAAGCCAGCGAGCCGGGGAAUGGUGGAAGCCCGGACUUCGGCACCGGAAGAAGAUCCCCCGGGAGCAUCUCUUGAAAGCAACCAGUAAAGAGUAUCGGCCGAUCCCGUUAUCGAUCAAUGAGUGAAGACACUCCUGUUCGCCCUGCGCAGGUAUGCGUGAAUGGCGGCCAUGGAGUUCUUAAUCAGGGUGGUACCGCGAGACUUCUCGUCCCUAUG
rnacentral:ncRNA from 1 species